CUGGCCUCAAAUCAGGUAGGGCUACCCGCUGAACUUAAGCAUAUCAAUAAGCGGAGGAAAAGAAACUAACUAGGAUUCCCUUAGUAACGGCGAGUGAACCGGGAUGAGCUCAAAUUUAAAAUCUGGCGUCUUUCAGGCGUCCGAGUUGUAAUCUAUAGAGGCGUUUUCCGCGCCGGACCGCGUCCAAGUCUCUUGGAAUAGAGUAUCAAAGAGGGUGACAAUCCCGUACUUGACGCGACAACCGGUGCUCUGUGAUACGUUCUCAAUGAGUCGAGUUGUUUGGGAAUGCAGCUCUAAAUGGGUGGUAAAUUCCAUCUAAGGCUAAAUAUUGGCGAGAGACCGAUAGCGAACAAGUACCGUGAGGGAAAGAUGAAAAGCACUUUGGAAAGAGAGUUAAACAGCACGUGAAAUUGUUAAAAGGGAAACGAUUGAAGUCAGUCGUGUGAAAGGUAUUCAGCCGUCUCUGGCGGUGUAUUUGCCUUUCACGGGUCAACAUCAGUUUGAUCCGGUAGAAAAAGGCGGGAGGAAGGUGGCACCCUCGGGUGUGUUAUAGCCUCCUGUCAUAUGUGCCGGACCAGACUGAGGAACGCAGCUUGCCGCAAGGCCGGGGUUCGCCCACGUACAAGCUAGGA
rnacentral:rRNA from 1 species